GCCUCAGUAGCUUAGCAGGUGGAGCGGUCGGCUGUUAACCGACAGGUCACCAGUUCAAAUCUGGUCUGAGGCG
rnacentral:tRNA from 2 species